AGUCUACUGAAAAACGUCAAUUCGGAUGAAAAAACACGGACUAGGAAGCUUUUUAAAAAACAAACCACCUUUUUUCUCAACUCUAAAUGACGUAACGUCCUUCUAGUACGUCAAUGCUUCAUUCGUGAAAAUAAAAAUUAAAAAAUACGGAAUUUAAACACCCAAAUUUCCAGUGACACCAUACCUACGUGGGUAUUUAGAAUCACACCUAAAACAUAAAAUAUGGAUGGAUUGGGAACAAGAUUGGCACAUCGUAGACAACCUACCAAACAUCAAAGAUUCAGUCAGGAGUGUUUGCCAUAGGAGAAGCAGAAGGAACGCAUUUACCAAGAAAAGAAACAUAGAAAUACAAGUCCUAUGCUUCUUUAAUGAAAUGCUGCUUUUAAAAAACAGUUUAAAACAAAGUUAAACACCAAAAAGCAAAUUAUCACUGAUUACCACAAGAACUCUAGGCAAAUCUUGGGGAUUAAAAGUGAAAAUGGCCAAUUGGCUAAAUAUGGCAGUAUUAAGGCCUCGGUUCACUAAUCUGGUGGACCAAAACACAACAAACUAGCCAAACAUCAGGCGGGAUACAAACUGGCAAACUUACAAACCGAUGAAAACAGUCCCAUCAAUUGCACUAGAAACACUGCUAAACCUAACUCAUUAAAAUAAAUCAAAGGUUGGCUCGCCCUUCAAAUUGGGAAGAAAAAAAAGCAAUAUUUGCUGGGAUCUCAAGUGGUGUGUCUGAGAUUGGUCACUUGGGAAUAACAUUAGACUCUGCGUUUAUUUGCUCUCCGCAUGUUAGUUUAGUUCUGGCCCAGAGCAAUAGAAGCUUGGGGUUCCUUAAGAGAAAUACAUCAGAUUUCUGAAAUAUUAUUAUUAAAAUAUUUAUAUUUUGGGUUAGUUCAGAGCAUACUUGAGUACUGUAGCUUGGUUUGGUUUCCCAGGGGCAUUUAAUCUAAGGUCUACUUGAAGGAGUUCAGUGGAACUCUAUUAAAUACCUAAUUUACAAGUUAGGACUUCAAUGGGAGUAUGAUGACCGGUUGAAACUGUACAAAAUGUGAUAACGGUCAUUACUCCUUCCACAACUUCUCAGUCAGAUAAAUUUAUAUGCCCAUUUCAAAUUCAAAUUGUCGUCAGCAACAGUUUUUACACCCAGUUUCAUAGGACUAAUAGUGGGAAAUUUGGCACAAUGACUUACCUUCAAAAGACAUUUAAUGAAAUCUGUGACAUGCAUCAUUUAGAUAUAUUUGGAUCCUCAUUGAAUGUAUUCAAAAACGAAAUGUUUAAAUGCUUGUCGUCAUGAUUAUAAUUAGUUCAUUCAUGUUUGUUACACUAUUUGUAUUUCUUAAUUUAAAAUAUGUAAUAUGACUACUGAUUGGGGGUCAUCCCCAGUAAUGUACUAAAAUAAAUAUCACUUUUCUUUAAA